AAGCUUUAUUGAAACCGAGGGUACAACCUAUAAGGCCAGUGUGGCGGAUAUACAGCAUUUUAAAUGACAGUAUCGGACAGCAAUGUGUAUAAAUUACAAUACAAAACGCAGUAUAAUAUGACAACGGCGAUGAUAAAUUUGUACUUAAAAUAGCGCAUUCGAGAGAGAGAGAGAGAGAGAGCAAAUGAUUGUUGUUAACAAUGCGGCUGGCGAACGCAACUUCGCAAGUGUGAAGUCUCAGCAACAUCGCACUUUAACAAUAAUCAGCAAUAUUAACACGGAUAACGCUUGACGGCAAUUGAUUAGCGCAAUUAGAUAGCGCGAAGAUCUCGCUCACCAACGAUUUCUCUGCUUUGAUCCUUUUUUCUCGAUCGCGUUUUUAACGAUCAACGCCUUGCAUAAUACGUCAUUGGCCACAGCUAGGCGUCGAAUGCUGAUUCUGCGAUUGAAUAAGAGCUCUUUUAUCGCAGAAAAUGGCACGAAGUACCUUUUGCAUAAGAUUUGCGUGCAGCAUCCAGUUAUAGCUGCUGCUUCGAUCGCUCUGCUCUCGAGAAUUUUCCGUUUACCUGUAAAACCGGCGACUUAUCUUGCUUCGAAUGUUAAAUCACAUUUUCAGAGAGUGGCUGACAGUGACAGCAACGGACAAGCCCUUGCGAACAAUCGCCAAGAGUCGGAACAACCAACUACUCUUCGCCAGUCCGACUUGACUUAUGGGAUUGACGAUGUACCUCCGUGGUACCUCUGCUUGUUCAUGGCUUUUCAACACUACUUGACGAUGAUCGGCGCCAUAGUCUCAAUACCGUUUAUUCUGACACCGGCCCUCUGCAUGGCAGAAGACGACUCUGCCCGCAGUCACAUCAUCUCGACAAUGAUCUUCGUCAGUGGUCUCGUCACGUUCCUGCAAACGACCGUUGGCUGCCGCCUUCCCUUGGUGCAAGGUGGUACGAUAUCAUUUUUAGUACCGACGCUUGCCAUUUUAAAUUUACCUCAAUGGAAAUGUCCAGCAGAGGAAGUUUUAAACACUCUACCUGUCGAAGAACGAACAGAAUUGUGGCAAAUACGAAUGAGAGAGCUUUCAGGUGCAAUCGCCAUUUCUGCGCUUUUCCAAGUCAUUGUUGGUUAUUGCGGUUUCAUUGGUUAUAUGUUGAAAUAUGUCACCCCACUUACAAUUGUACCAACAGUUUCAUUAGUUGGACUAUCACUUUUUGAAAAUGCAGCUGAUGCAGCUUCGAAACAUUGGGGAAUAUCUACUGGAACAAUUAUUAUGUUGACAUUGUACUCACAAGUUUUAGUCAAUGUCAAUUUCCCCAUCAUAGUUUAUAAAAAAGGUCAAGGAUUUCAAAUUACUUGGUUUGCAUUAUUUAAAUUAUUUCCCGUUUUACUUACCAUAAUUGUCAUGUGGAUCAUUUGUGCCAUUGUAACUGUCACUGAUGCUUUACCACCAGGCCAUCCAGGAAGAAUAGACACCAAAAUAAAAAUUAUCAGUGAUUCGCCCUGGGUCCGAUUCCCUUAUCCUGGUCAAUGGGGUACUCCCACAAUAACUCUAUCUGGAGUACUUGGUAUGCUUGCUGGAGUACUGGCAUGUACAGUGGAGUCCAUCAGUUACUAUCCAACAACUUCAAAAAUGUGUGGUGCUCCUCCACCACCAGUUCAUGCAAUUAAUCGAGGGAUUGGUAUAGAGGGGCUCGGUACUGUUUUAGCUGGUUUAUGGGGAAGUGGAAAUGGUACCAAUACUUUUGGAGAAAAUGUAGGAACUAUUGGAGUAACCAAAGUUGGCAGCCGCAGAGUUAUUCAAUGGGCUUGUGUUUUGAUGAUUCUUCAAGGAGUGAUUAGCAAAUUAGGAGCAGUGUUUAUUAUUAUACCAGAACCCAUUAUUGGAGGUAUAUUUUGUGUAAUGUUUGGUAUGAUAGCUGCAUUUGGCUUUUCUGCUCUUCAAUAUAUUGAUUUAAAUUCAGCUCGAAAUCUGUAUAUUCUUGGUUUUUCUGUAUUUUUCCCUCUGGUACUAUCAAAGUGGAUCACUAAGCACCCAACAGUCAUAAAUACCGGCAAUGAGGUAGCGGAUGGAGUAAUUACAGUUCUUUUGAGUACAACAAUUCUUGUUGGUGGUUUUAUAGGUUGUUUUUUAGAUAAUUUCAUUCCAGGGACGUCCAAGGAAAGAGGUUUAGAUGCUUGGGCAAAGGAAUUAAAUUUGGAUACAACAAAUGAUAACAGUGCUAUAGGUGCUCAAACAGAAUAUAAGUACAAUACUUUUGAUUUACCAUUUGGAAUGGAUCUGUUAAGAAGGUGGAAGUGGACAUCGUACUUACCGUUUUCGCCAACUUACAAGUCGAGGCCAUUUUUGUGCGGACGACAGCCGAAGAAUAAUUAAUACAAGAGCGAAGUAUUUUAUUAUAUAUAGCUAUGAACUUUUAAAUUAUUACGAUUUGGAAUGUGGAGCGUUCCUCAUCAUUGCUAUGCUUUCACGUCGAUAUAUUUGUAUGCACACAUAAUAUUACCUCCCCUAGCCCAGCUUGCGCCUGACGCUAUAAAUAAAUUAUAAAAAAAUUAUGUAAAUCGAUA